CCUCGGGCACACACAGCAUUGACUGCCAUGAAGUUCACCACAGGGCUGAAGUGAGAAUAAUUUUGCCGUCUGAAAGAUGGAUUCCUGCCUGUCAGAAAGGCCAUUCCAGCAUCCAGGGUGCAUCCUCUGUGUUAAUCGACAGGUCCCCAGUGAGAAAUACUUCUGCAGAGAAGACAGAGGGAAAAACAUGAACAAUGGGCUUCUCCUGCCCUAAUUGCAAGUACAGCAGGCAUGUCAAGUGUGAAUUUGAGAGACAGAGCUCUAGUGGAUAUCUCUGAAUGAAAGCUGAAGGGAAGUUCAUGUAUCAUGGAUGUUGAAACCAACGAGUUGGGAGCGACUGGAGAAAAA